rnacentral:rRNA from 1 species
UGGGGAAUAUUGCACAAUGGGCGCAAGCCUGAUGCAGCCAUGCCGCGUGUGUGAAGAAGGCCUUCGGGUUGUAAAGCACUUUCAGCGGGGAGGAAGGCGGUGAGGUUAAUAACCUUGUCGAUUGACGUUACCCGCCGAAGAAGCACCGGCUAACUCCGUGCCAGCAGCCGCGGUAAUACGGAGGGUGCAAGCGUUAAUCGGAAUUACUGGGCGUAAAGCGCACGCAGGCGGUCUGUCAAGUCGGAUGUGAAAUCCCCGGGCUCAACCUGGGAACUGCAUUCGAAACUGGCAGGCUAGAGUCUUGUAGAGGGGGGUAGAAUUCCAGGUGUAGCGGUGAAAUGCGUAGAGAUCUGGAGGAAUACCGGUGGCGAAGGCGGCCCCCUGGACAAAGACUGACGCUCAGGUGCGAAAGCGUGGGGAGCAAACAGG